UUUAAUUUUCAGAUGUCUUUUUCCAUCUCCCUUUUCAUGAAUAUUUUUUUCUACAUUACAGAAUCACAGAAUGACCAGGGUUGGAAGGGACCUCAAGGAUCAUGAAUCUCCAACCCCCUGCCACAUGCAGGGCCACCAACCUCCACAUUUAACACCAGACCAGGCUGCCCAGGGCCCCAUCCAACCUGGCCUUGAACACCUCCAGGGACAGAGCAUCCACAGCUCCCUGGGCAGCUGUUCCAGCACCUCACCACUUUCUCUGUAAAGAACUUCUCCAUUGUUUAAGGAAAAACAGCAUCGAGCUAUUUACACAUUGUAAGUUCUUAGAUCUUUUCCAAGAUGCAGAUUUAUAGGACAGAACCACCUACUCUUUAGAUUUGCCCUCACAGCUGUAUUCCAAUCCUUAUGUAUUUGGUUUUAUUUAUUUUUAUUUAUAUAAACUUUGUUCUGUAUAAAAAGAUAAAGCUUUCCAAGAAAUCCUGACACCUUUGUGUGAUACUGCAAGUGCUGCUGCAUUCUUCUGACUUCUGCACCAACCAUCCUUCUUGUCCCUCUUGAUAUCAGAUGAUCCUCUGAAUUUAUGAACUGAGAAAUACUGGCAACAAUCAGAGUGCUUUCCUAGAGAAUAUUUCUUUCUUUUUUUUUGUGAGCUUACAAGUUGAGCUGACAGAGGUCAACUGAAUGCACUGCAGUUGCCCUUUUAAAAUAUUUGGCACCAUCACAUACUAUGUUUUUACUAAAACUUUUCAUUAAGAAAAUGAUACAGCAUAGUAAGAAGAUUAUAAACUAUGUGUCUAAUCUCAAAAAGUAAGUAAAUCUUUUCAAUUAGGAGUUAUUAGCUAAUUUUUGGGCUUUGUAUACCUUUGCCCAAGACUUAUAAAUAUAUUUACAAUAGAGUUACAGAGCAAUCAUUAGUUGAGAAGAAAAUAAAAAAUAUUGGUGAAAAAUAUCCAGAUGAUAGAGUGAUUGUUGGCAUGGUGAUAACCUAGACAUAUCAUUUAUGUAGCAUGGCCUUACUCAGUAUUUGGAACAUAAUAAAAGAAAAUCUGUGAUUUUAGUGUUGAAGUACGUACAUCAUGCUGACAAGACAAUGGACUGGAUCCUGGAGAAGAUGGAUUCCUGAAAACUGGAGGGAAUUCAUGAAGCCAUUAGUGAAUCUGUAGGUAAUACAAGUGUUUCAAGUGAGACUCAGAAAUUACGUAGGUGUCCAAAUCCAAAACUGUGAUUCUGACUGCCCUCCUCAGCAUUUGGGUAAAGAGCAUUUUUGUGUCUUCUAAAGUUGUUUACUAUUUUACUUUAAACCUCGCUGUCCUGAGGUGAGAACAGGAGAAUGACUAUUGGGCAAAGCAUCACCCGGGCCUGUAUCCCACCAGUGCUGGCCAACAGCAAACGCCUGAGAGAGCAGGACAAGUGGUGAUAUUUCCCAAAAAACACCUUGCUAUGACUAUGGACCUUCCUAAACUGAAGGAGUGAUUUUGUGCCAAAUGACCUGUAUGGGAUUCUUCUGCCACACUUGUGUCUGCUGGCCCUUGGGAACGCCUGGUACCCACCUCAUCCUCUGACCAACCACAGCUUAAUAACCUGCUGCACAAAUAAUGACCUUCUCAUACCCUGCUGUCUGCUCGUGCACACCCCUGCCAUGGGUUACCACUCAUCACUGACCUCAACCUGGACAUGCAACAUUGACCGCAACCCUCUGGCUACAACCACCCAACCAAUUCUUUGUCUGCCUUGCACAAGUCCAGACAGACGACAUCAGCUGCCCUGCCUUUGUCCACCAAUGCCAUCACUCCAUCAUAGAAGGCGUGUCAGAAGUGGGAACAUCUAACAUCAGCAGGAUGGGGCUUUUCACAACAUCUCUAAGCGAUUCCUUUUGCAAUGUGUCUGAUAAAGGAAGUAGCAGUUGUGCAACAUCUUGCUGAUUGAUGAGCAGAGCAGAGCAGAACAUGGAACAUAUCACAUGGGGUGUUGCCUUUCUGUAUCUUGUUUUAUGAUAAGGAACAAUCUGCGUAGUCCAACAGAAAGCCAAACGUGCUUAUCUUUGGGGUGAUGCUCAAGGCUGUGCAUCUUGAAUCAGGUCCUGUGUCAGGUUCUGGAUCUUGCUGCACAGAUAGCUAUGUAUUCACACAGAAAAUGCACAGAGUACAAUUAAUUUUCUUUUUUUAUUUACUCAUAUCAUUAUCAAAGUACCUCAGAACCUCUGUCAAAAACACAGACUUUGUAGUUCUUGCUGCUGCAUAUACAGAGAUGAUGUAAUUUGCCAGCAGCUUGUGGUUUCAGAUUAAGAAGAACUGAUACGCAGAUGAGCAAAUACAAAGAAACAGCUUUAGCAAAUGCCUAGGUAAAACAGAGCCAGAGACUACUUACAACUACUUACAAAUGCUGCCCUCCUCCCCAUGCAGAAGAACCCUCCACUCCACUUCAUUUGCAGAGCCAGCUGAAGUUGCUAAGAAACAAUGCUCUUACCCAGCAUGUGCCUUGCUCAGAGCACCAUCAGUGAGGACAAGGUGAUGACAGCUUUGACAUGCAAUAUUCGCAGCUGUGGUGCAGAAGGAAUGCAGUGUUGACACCCAAGAGAGCUCGUGGCUCACCAUGCUGGGAUGAAUCCUGGCCUGCCCACAGACCUGAAGCACAAGGGAAGAUGCUGUGCUCCCUUCUGCUUUCUUAUUCCAUGCUGCUGCAAUGGCCACAUCUCCCACUUGUAAUGCUAAGACCUUCCCUUAAGGGUAGCACAAAACAACAAGUUCCUCUACAUUCACUUCCAUUCCCUUCUUGCCUUUCCAUUCCUCCGCUUCUCCAAAGAAAACUGCAAGUCUUCGCUUCUUCCUGAGACAUCAGUCACCCCAUGGUGACUGAUCAUUAGGUGACCUCAUCAUUAGGCUUUGUUUUCAAUCCGUGCUGCCUCUGAUCCAAGGCUGUAAGUUGAUGUUAGACACCUGGAACUAUGGUCAAGCAAAGAGCCUGGAGCUGCCAACCAAAAACAAUGAAUUUCAUUAUGGCGUGUGACCACUUACUGAUGGUCCCCUCCAGCAAAGUCCUGUAUUUUUUUUUCUUUCCCACCUGUAUUUUGGGUUGAUCCUAAUACUAUCCUGAAGCCCCAGACCAAUAGGCAUUUGUCCUGGAAAUGUCAGUGUUCAGCAUCUUUGCUCUCUGUGAUAACUGUGACCUGUGCAUAGCUCUGAAGUCAGAUCUCCUCCCAUAGGAUGUAGAGAAUGGACACACUUCAUUCUUUGACAGGGUACCCAAUGGUGGCAAUCCCAUAAAUCCUUCCUUCAUCCUCCAGGAAGGGACUCUACAGCCAAAUGAAAAACCUGCGGUGAGGUGUCACAUAUGGGCGUUUCCAUGGGAGUCAUAGCUCCUGUUUCUGUCAAUAGAUUCAAUCAACAGAGCAAUGUGUGUGCUGGCUUGCUUCAGAGUGGACUGCAAUGCUCCCCAGAGCCCACUGACUCCAGACAGUGCUGACAUGUAAGUCUAGGUGUCUUAAUUUGCAGUGUGAAUCAUAUCCACAGCAGCACUUCUGCUGUGAUCUUCUGGCUGUAGUUAUUCAUCCUCGCCCACCUGCUAGAUAAAACAGCAGUGUUUUUGUAGAUUUAAAUAUAUGCUGGUAGAUUUUCAGUUGUUUAUUUUAAAUAAUACAUUACAUCCAGAUCUGGAGCGAUUCUAAGCUAGCAAGUAUCCCUCUAAAUCAAGUGGCACUUCCUGGAUAUCUUUAAACACCCAGAAGUGCCAGGCCAUGACAGAAGAUAAAGAUAAGCCACAAACUUUUUCUGGUGAGCUGCAGCACUAUGGUCUCCAGCAGCUGAGCUUACCAUGGGCUGACCCCUUUCUCAUCAUGAUUUGCUCUUGUGCUUGUUCUUCAUUAACAUCUUUUGUAAACCUUUUGAUUUGUUGAAAGCGGUCAUUUGUUUUCAGGCUGGGAGCACUGCUAGAUGUGGCCAAUAGUGGAGCAGUGCUUCAGAGCUCUUCUAACUUGCAAAGUCCUGAUGAUGGAUGUAAUCAGCAGCACCCCAUGAGAUUGUAGGUGUACUCAGGUGCCUUCCAUCCACCUGAAAGGAACAGCUGGAAUGAAGGGGCUAUUUUAAAUUAGCCCUUCCAGUGCUCUUUGUUCAUCUUUCAGUUGUGCUGUUCAGCACAGGGCAUGGCCAGUGAGCAGGGUAGGUGGCUGGACCAGACAGCUGGUGUAAUACUGUAUCUUUCAUGGACUGACAGUAUUUUCACAGCCUUGCUGAAGACGGAGGGAGAUAGUUCGUCAUUUCUGUGACUUCUUCUGGAGCUGAUGAGGAGAUUAACCUGUAACAAAGCUUUGUUUUGAUGGACCAAUACUGUGGUUAAAUAAAUCUAUUGCAAGUUGCUUGGGCUGAUGAAGUUGCCUUGUGAUUAGAUUAACUGCUGAUUAGAUUUUGAUGGGACCUGGAAAGAGUGUGAGUUGUAGGGUGCAUUUUAAAAACACUGUGCAAGGAAUUAAUUCUCUGUUCUCACUCUUCUAUUCUGUUCUAUCCUAGCCCUUAAUUCUCUAUUCUUUGCUUUAAAAACCUGCCCUAAUGACUGCACAGUGAAUUGAUUAACAGGCUAACGCUUAUUUUUAUUCACAUAAAGAGUAGUACUGUGUUGGUUUUCUCAACAUGGAGGAGACAACCGCACCCUUGUAGGGUGUGUGUACAAGUCUUAAGGCAUGCUUUACCUGCCAGGUGAGCCUGCAAUCCUCAUCUGACCGAUAACAGCAUCAGCAGAACCAGUGAAAAGAGACAAAAUGGCCAAAGUACGAAGAAAUGAUGGGCACAAACAUUCAGCAGCUCUGCGGUCUUGUGCGGGAGGAAAUCUUACAGAGGGCUGAAGCUGUGUGAGUGACAUAUACAUGACACAAGCAGUCUUAAAAUCAGUUUUUCUGGUCCAGAAGAGCAGAGUGGCUGGGUUUGCUCUCAGGAAGUGUUGCUGCACUGUAGAAGUGGUUUCACAUAGAUGCAUGGGAGGAUGGACCUUGGGGAACACAGAAGCAGAGGCCAGCUGCAGCACUGAAAUCUGAUGCAGCAGUUAAUAAACCAGUAACUUUCUCCACCAGUGACUAGAACACCAAGAUGGAGAUAGGGCCAAGGCAGAGUUUUCCUACCCUCAAUCCCACACCCUCUUCUGUUUCCCCUGCCUACAUCAAAGGGAGCAAAACUUGGUGGUUUCUCUCUAGCUCAGCCUGGCUCCAUCCCUUGCAGCCUUGGCUGCAUCCCAGCAGGACGUGCAUUGCACUGGCUGCAUAAGAACCAGAGGCUGGAUGGAAGGCACGAGCUAUUCACUUUCACCAAAUGAUGAAUGGUGGCUGUCACUGCCUCCAUCGAUAGCAGCUCUCUGUAGCUGUCAGACAUGCACCAUUUUGUAAACCUGAUCGUGUUUACAUUAGCAGUGUUUUAUGAGCCUCAUCACGUUGCAAUGUAAAUAUUUCUGCAGCAGCUGCUCCCUGAGGAGUGACGUGGUGGGGUGGUGUUGAACAAACACCAGCCACAGACUUCAGUACAUGCAUAUCCUCCAGGAAGGAGCCAGAAAACACAAGUGCACCAGGAAUUAGAUGAAGAAGCUUGAAGUCUUUGCACGUCACUUAGAAAAGGAGGCUGGCCAUCUGGCUACGAGAUUUUGUCUGAGAUGCUUCACUUGCAUGUUGAUCAUGAAGCACUGAGCUUGUGUCACCUGCUGUACAGCAAAAGGGAGAAGAAAGCCUGGCUGAUGCCCUCUUCUAGUACAGCUUCGCCAAUCUUCAGAGCAAGAUGGGAAUGAAAAUAGAGAAAACCCCAAGGACAACCCUGGGGGGUUGAUUUGGUGCUGACCUAAUGGUGCUGAACACAAGUGCUGAUGAAAGAGGUGCUGGAUCCAAAUAAACCAUUGGUGAAAUGUAAAGGAUGUGUGAGCACCCAGUACUUCAUCACUGUUAGCACUGCAGUAUGGAGGUGUGAGUGAAGGCCCACAGCCUUCUACUGAGCUAUGAACAGAGUUGAAAACAGGGACUCAACCUCCAGCUGCUGCAGUUGGGACUUUCUGCCAGGAAAAGUCAGUGUGACUGUGGAUGAGCCACUGAAUGAAAGGCAGUUUUGGUGUUUGCGUGCUUGUUCAGAUACUCACUGCCAUAUAUGCUCAGCAGAAUUUUGAACUUUGAGUUCCUAAGUGGCAUGUGAAACCUUCCCAAGCACAUUAAUUUAUUCACAUACCUUUUCUGAGUUUAUUAGAGGAAUUAAAGAGAAAGAUGAUACCAUGGCCAGAAGGACCAAAGGGAAGGAUGAAGCAGCUGAUAAUCCCAUCAGGAGCAUAUUAGACAUAUUUCAUUAACGGUCAGAUAAUUAAAGCGGAAGAUGUGAGACACAAAUUCAGUCCAUGUUUGAUCAGAAGCUAUGAAUUUUGCUCUUUGAUCCUGAUAAAAGGUAAAGAAAAACAGUUUAAGAAAAGAAUGGAGGAAUAUCCCUAUUAACAUCAAAUAUGAGACCCCUGUUAUGGUAAGGAAAGGAAAUGUAGAUGGCAAAGAUCAAAGGUGUAUUCUGUAGAAACAAAUGCUGUGUUACAUAAACUUUGCUUUUUCAAAGUGGUGAUUUCAGUUUUGCAGAAUCCUUUUGAGAAACACACCAGAAAGUUUGGAAUUUUUGUGGGCUAGAAACUGGUAGGAAUUGAAAAUAAAAAUGCAAGAA